AAGCAGGUUCGCCUUUAAAUGUGAACUGAAUUGAAUUUCCCCCCUACCAAUCUGCAUCAUGACUAGGGGGAGUGGAAAUGAAGCACUGAAUGGAAACAAAGCAUUUCCCCUGAGAUAAUGUGGUUAUACUGCUUUUUUUUCAUUCUACCCCCAGCCCCAGGUACAAAAUCUGUUGUAGCAGCCCAGAAGAGUGAGGUUUGGCCACUGGACUGCAGGUUAAUUCAUAUGCAACCAGAAUUCACUGCAAGCCUUUGAAGAAUCAAGCACUCAUAUCAGCAGCUCCAGUUCCAGAUGCUGGUUUUUGUGAGCCAGAUUUCACUCUGAACCAACCUUGAAACUGGCUCAGUGUGAUGUUGUAAGUUAUGAAACUACGAUCUUCACUUUGGAACAUGGAAAUAAGAAAACUGUGUGCUAUUUCUAUUUGUAGUUCUAUUGUUCAAUUUAUGACUGAACAAGUUUAGCCCAGCGAUUAAUGGCCACAUUUACAUACCUCCUAAACUAAAGGCUUUGAAUGACAAAAGUUAUUUUCAACACUCUUGGUAUAGUAGAUAUAAGCAAGUCAAAAUCAUCUUCCAUGAUCCCAAGACACAUUGUUCUUUCACUUCCAGGAAUGAGAUUUUUGCACUUUAAAGAGAUUGACCAUCAGUGUUUUCUCUUCUAUCCUAAAUAUAUUCAUCACAGCUCUGUAUAAUGAGCUGUUUAAAACAGAUGGUUCAAAAACCUCUGAAGAAAAUGUGAUAUUGAAUGAGUUGUCAUGAAAAGGUUCUGCAUCUCUUUGUUGUUUCAUCACAGUGUUUAACUCUUUCUGAACGCAUCUCAAAUCCAGAGGAUUUUCUGUUAAGGCUGUUGGUGCUUAGAAAAUCCAUCUGGCAAAGGAAUCUAGUUUGCUUUUAAUAUCUCCAAAACCCAGCAUCUAAAAUGUAAAUGCUUGGAAGUUUCAGACUGCAGUACACAUAUAAGCUCAGCUUUGCAAUUGGUUAUCACGUCCUCCCUUCUGUUUCCAUAAGCUGUUUCUCCACCCAUUCAGUCGUCCCCUUGCCUGAUGCUAGGUGGCACAGAUAAUCUUGGAUGCCAGUCAAUGAGCAAUGAUAGGGGACAGCCUCUAGCUAUCCCUAGACUGUGUGUUUGUUAAGCUCAAUAACUUGUAUUCUCAUGUAACAGCAUGAUAUAAAAAUCUGAAAAUAAUUUUUAGGGGGACACCUGGCAACCUGACAUUUAUGAGUCUAUAACCAGAGGUAGAGCCUACCUUGAGACAUUUCCUAUUCACUUUUCUUUGAUAGCCGGUAGUCAUUGCAUUCAAUUGCAUUACACACUCAAUCCAAUCCCCAACACAAUCAAGCAGAAGUAUUUGGAUGUGGGCCAGUUUAAUACUGCUAAAGCCAAUCGAUCUGAAUUAAUUUAAAGCUAAGAGCUUCAGCUUAACGGGGUUGUGGAUCAGCCAGUUGGCCUCUUAAUUGCUCUUUUUCUUUCUUACCCAGAGAGCGUGGUAAUGUUAAUGUAUAUUAGAGUAAUUCUUUACACAAAACAUCUGUAACAUUUUCUAAAAAUUAUAAAUGCUCUGGGAUUGGGGAUUCCAGCUGUUGCCUGACUGAAGGAAUCCCCAUGACAUCAGCAGUCAGGAAUUGGGUUUCAUUUACCCCUUUUGCCAUGGUAAAAAAGAGAGAGAAAAAGUCAACAUGAUCCAGAUGGUCGUUCUGGGUAUUAAAAUGUGCCUGCUUUGUGAUUGUGGUCUGGGACACAACCCUUGUCUUUAUAGUGCUGAAAUAAUUGAUUUCACCCUGCUUUCCAGAGAGGCAAAGUACCCAAGAAAGCAAAAAAUCAUCCAUUACUAUUCAGAGUGGGGAUCCAUCUAAAUGACUUUAUUGUUCUCAAGAUUUCACUGUUUAAUAUUAUGACAUCAUGUAGUUUCCUGAGAUACCAAGAUAGCUAGGACUAAAACCAGAAUUCCCUGUCUUUAAGCAAUAAUAUGCUACAGUGUCAAGUUAUGUGUGAUAAGUGAAAUCACAACAAACUUCUAAUUACCAUAGUUCGCAAAAUCAUUCUUUUUAAAAGGUUGUUUGUAUUUUAUUUAUUAUUUUUUUAAGGAAUAAUGACCACCAAAUGGCACAGUAAGACCAGCCAGUGGGUUAAGGGACCCUUGGGAGCAUUGUUCAGGGCAUUUAGUGGCUCCCACCAUAUUAUGCCUGCAACUGGGAACUGUAGAAAUGGGGCAGUGUUGUGUAAAUAAAAGGCAUGUGAAGUAGUUACAGCUUAAUCCAGGAAUGGAAAAUACGCUCGCAAAAGGAAGGUAAGAGCAGAAGGGUUGUAACAGCUAACUAACAGCUGUCAGACCCUCGGGUGCUUUUCAGCCUUCAGCAGAGAUCUCACUUCUUAAAGUUAUGCCACCCCCAAAUUCAAACUCCUUCUGCCCUCCCUCUGGAACCAAUGUACAUUUGGGGAAACAUUUUUGCAGGUGAAUUUACCUAGUCCAAAUUUGCUUAGGAAAAGAAAAAUAUCAGGUAAGCUAAAUUAAUAGUUUGAAACGGCUUUUCUCAUUACAUAUGGUGUUAAGUUAGCAAUUUUUUGGGGGGGGGAGGAACAUGCCACAGAAUAUUGAAUGUGGCAUGCAAAUCACAUGCCUGCCUUAAGAUUGUAUCAAGAAGACUGAAAGUUAAGGUUUCUUUUUAAGGCGUACUUGAAAUUGGAAAAAGUUCCCAUUUUGGAACCAGCAAAAGGGUUCUGUCUGCUACGUGGACCCCAGCAAAGUGUUCUUCUUCUCUUGGGGUUCUGUCUGCCCAUUGCGGCAUUCUGUGAAUUCCACUUCCAUCCAGGGUUAACAAGCCUAUCAAGUGUCAUAGGCAGAAGUGUGGACCCACUCCAAAAUAUAGUCCUUUCUGUUCGUAUUCAAAUAUCUGGGGAAAUGUAAAGGAGUAUUCUGAACAAGGGCCCUGACAUGGGAGUAAACUUGCUCCUGGGCUCUAAUGACUUCACAUUAUUGGUGGCGAAUGGUUUUUGCCCCUUCCCAGCAGUCUUGCCUAUCAUAGACCAUGGACCUUAUUCUUUGGGGGAGGACUGAAAUUAUUCAUCAAAUGGUAAAGCAGACCUUAGCACCUUUGCCAACACCAAAAUAAUCAAGAUUCAACCUUAUAAACAGAAUGUUAUUAUGUAAACUUAAAUCUCCUCUUCAGUCUUAAAGCAGGAAGUUAUGUAAAUAUUUUGCUCUUAGCAUAUAUGUAGGGAUACAAUCUGAAUUAAUGCAAUUAAUUUGCAGUGCAAGGUGGGAGCCUCAGUCUAAGUAUAUUUGUAGAACAGAAAUAUGUACUGGUAGAUGUAAUGCCAUAUUUGAGGGAUAACUGUACAAAUUGUCAAUUCACAGGAGUUUAAUAAAUGCAUCUGACCCAAUCAGGCACCUUAGGUAGGGGGCGAGCCCAAUAUGUUCCUGCAAUAGAAAAUAGACUUCUGUGUGGCUGAAAUGUAGCCUACUAUACAACGAUAGACGGGACAUGGGUGGCACUGUGGGUUAAUCUACAGAGCCUAGGACUUGCCGAUCAGAAGGUUGGCGGUUCGAAUCCCCGCGACGGGGUGAGCUCCCGUUGCUCGGUCCCUGCUCCUGCCAACCUAGCAGUUAGAAAGCACGCCAAAGUGCAAGUAGAUAAAUAGGUACCGCUCCAGCGGGAAGGUAAAUGGUGUUUCCGUGCACUGCUCUGGUUCACCAGAAGCAGCUUAGUCAUGCUGGCCACAUGGCUCCUUCAGCCAAUAAAGCGAGAUGAGCGCCGCAACCCCAGAGUCGGCCACGACUGGACCUAAUGGUCAGGGGUCCCUUUACCUUUACCUUAUACAACGAUAAGAACCACUGACCUACUUGUUUUUGCCUCUGCUACCCUUCCCCAUUCACUAAGAUUUUGUGCCUCUCUAUCCCUCUGCAGCCUCUGGAAGAUUGUCCAUGAGAAAAUGCAGUCCUUAGGAUGAAAAACAUUUGUUCUUCUGCGUUCCAUUGACAAUGGAGAAAUGAAGAAGAGUCCUUAUGUUACCAAAGACUCACUUUGAUCUUACAUGAUUCUCCUUAACAGCAGUAUCAUUGCCUUGGGGAUAACUUUUUUUAAAAAAACAAUGCAGCACAAAACUGCUUUGCCAAUAUCCUCAUUUGACUCAAAUGAGUCCUUGUAGCAUUGAAUAUAUUGAACACAAUCCCACAGGAAAAUCCAGUUGGAGAUUGUUGUCAUCUAGGUAAGAGUGCCAUAGGGGUAACAUCUGUUUGCAAUCAUCUUCCCUGGGAAUUAGGAACAGAAUGUGCCAGCUGUUGGGGAUCCAGCACAGCGACUAGCUUGGGGCACUACAGAUCUCGAUGGUGUGGUCCCUUCUCAGCACACCUGCAGCAUGUAAUAACGGCAUCAAAUAUUAUGGAUGAAAUAUGGAUUCCUUUGAAAUUGUGGUUAAAGCUCUUAUCAGCUCCAGCGGAGCCAGGGCUUCACCCCAAGAGUGUUGUGGGAGUGUCAAGCUGAGUUUCAGGAUACGCUGAUAUAAUGAGCCUUUUGUUUACAAAGCAUGGGGUGAGUUGCCCUGAGCUAGGAACCAGCUUGACAGAAGCUGUGAAAUUGUCUACCCACAUCAGAGGAAAGGAAUUGGCAUUAAGCAGGAAGUGCUGCAAGGCUCAAAGCACGGGCAUGAAAAAUUAUACGGCAAACCAAAGAUAUGCUGCCAACUGCAUAAGCCCCUGGAAGAGCUCCCACAGAAACCUCCCUCAGGUUAUCAGGAAGCUGAAAACCACAAAGCUCUCGGGAAUCUAAUCUGUCACCAGCCAGAUUGCCAAACUGCUGAUGCCCUGAAAUUUAUCUAGGUGAGCAACAUUUCCAUGGUACUGAAUAACCAUGAAGAGAAGAAGCAAAAGGAAAGAGGACACAAUUGAUGGCUGAGGAACGCAAAGGCAAAUGUCUAAAAAACUGGACAAAACCCAUGUUUUUCUCCAUCAAAGCUAUCUGUGCACUUCUUAGGAGCUUGAUAUUUUAGUACCACAGUGUAUCCAUUGCAUAUGGCUGCUCUGGUACACUUUUCCGUGUUAGCCUGAUCACCUAACUCUGAAGGUCAACACAUCUCAUAAAAGCCAGUGCCUGUUCUGCAUUCAGAUUAGCUCUUUCAAUAAAUCACGGAGGUGGGCUAAAGGAGACUCGUUAAAUAGUCCCAAUCUUCAGCUCAUAUGUCAAAGCUCUCCCUCCCCAAUUGCCACAUCUCCUCUAGCCCAUCUAAAUUCCUGAUAUCCAUCACAAUACAAUAACCCUGCCUAUUAAGUUCCAGAACAUGAAGGGUUUUUCUCCCCUCACUGGUCUAAAGUACAGUGGCUUUCUUCUAAAAGGCUUUGUGAUGUCGUUGCUGGCACAAAGUAGGGGGGUUAUAGGGGAGUUUGCUAGGCUGGCUCCAGAUGCACAGGUGCUCUUGGAAAAGUGAUUUCUGGUGUGCUCCCUUGAACAUUCUUGGGCAUGCCCUGGCUUAGAUAGUACUACCUGUAAUCUGGCUGUUACCAUUUCAAUGCCUCUAAAUUAGGAUGCCUCUAGGACCAUAGUCUUCAGCCCUUUCAGACCUGGGACCCACUGUUAUCCAAACCAGCAUGGUUGAAAUGAUGCUGUUGCCACCCAACUUGGAUCAUGCCUUAACCCAGUAAUGGCUCUCAAACUACCUGUUGAAGAUCAGUGAUCCAGGCCAUUGUGGGGGAAGUGACAGCCGCUGGACCCAGCCACCUUCAGCAGUGGGACUUGCCUCAACAUUGUGGCCUCAACAGCUGCCUGGCAACAAGUCUCUGUUUUAAACUUUGCAAUAGCUAUAAGCUCACUCGGUGGUCUUGGGCAAACCGCUUUCCUUUGGUGCCAUUGAUCUCUCCCCAAUCUGCACAAUGGGACAAAAGUUCUUGCCAACCUUACAGGAAUUCUGGAAGCAUUAUGAGCAGCAUGAUCCUAUGCAUGCUUACCCCGAAGUCAGCCCCAAUGAAUUUAAUGGCACUUUCUCUCAAGCAAAUGUACAAGAGACUGUGCUGUGAGCUCAUUAAUGUACUGCACUUUGAAGCACUAUAGAAAUAGUAAAUAUUAUCAUUAUUACUGGUAGCAGUUGAACCAGACUGACAAACCCCUUCCCAUAAUCUUUUCCUCUUUCAUGUUUUCCUGCUUUACAGUGUAGUUUAAUUUGCUUUCUUUAAUUCCCAGAUAGCAACGUCAUGUGGCACCUAAUUUAAAGAUAUCAAAAGGGAUUUGAAAUCUUAAACUAUUAAAAUGCUGCAACUGCAUUAAUUUUUGUUUAAACAAUGACUUUCCAUAGAUAUUGCACAUACUAGGGAAGAUGUUUAUUCAGCAAAAGCUAUCUCUGCAUUAACACAGGAACAAAACCUUGGGCUGCUUAUCCCCAUAGAAAUAAAUCGCACAUUCUUUGCUUUAGAGGGUUUACUCGUAUUCAUCUUUCAGAUUUUGAGUCAGUGGCACAGUUUCAUAAAUAAAAGGAAAAAGUUGCUUCUGGUAUUAUGCAAUCCAAAACCCUUUAACUCAGAAAUGUGACUUAUGUGCCAAAACAUUUUCUUUUUUUACUUCAGGUAGCUGCUUCUUAUUACAAAACCAUUUUCUUGCACUCUGAGGUUUUUUAAAAAAAAACAAAACAAUGUUACCAAUAUUUGAUUGAAGGUAACCAGUUGGGCAUCUGGAAGACAUGAAAUCUAAAAAAUCCAUUCCAAUACCCAUUUCAGACUGGUCCCAAUGAUAUUCUCCUUCAAAAAUAAUAAGGCAGGGAUGAGGAAACCUGUGGCUGUCCAGAGCUUGCUAAGCCAUAAUUCCCAUCUUCCCUGAUGACUGGUCAUGCUGGAUGGGGCUGAUGGGACUGCAGCAGCUUAGGGUUAUGGGUUCCCCAUCCCUGUUAACACAACUAUAAGCAGUUUCAGGCAGCUUCUUAACAUGUAGCUGAUGUAUGGGCAUUCUAUUUACAUCUCAGGACAGUAACUUGAAAUAUAUAUAAUCACUAGUCUGCAUAUUUGACUUCCGGUUUUUCCGCCUUCCACUUCGGGUAUGCCUUGCGGAGUCUCCGUGGCAAAAGCAGCUGCCGGAGGGUGAUUUAGGGGGCAACAUGGAGGCUACGUGACCCCCCAAAGGCUCUGGGGGUGACCCAGAACCGAACUUAUCCUGCAGCAUCAAAAAGGGGACCUCCGGACUCAUGUCUUCAACAAGAGGUGAGACAACGGAAUAUACCCAGAUGCAAGGAGGUGAACAACCCUCGGCAGCAAGCUUAAAGAGGCUAUCAGAGAAGUUAUUCAUCCAAAUCAGGUUUCUCCCAGGGAGACAAAUUUCAGGGAAUACUAGAAAUAUUAUUGACAUCUUAGAAUAUUUAGAAGCCAAAAGUGACAAAAAGGCAGCCUUAUUACUACAGCCAUACCUCAUGUUACGUUUGCUUCAUGUUAUGUUUUUUCAGGUUGCGUCCCGCGGCCCAGAAGUACCGGAAAGGGUUCCUUCCGGGUUUUGUCAAUUGUGCUUUGCGCGUGCGCACAAGCGCCAAAUCGCACCGCACACCUGCGCAGAUAAGGCACUUCAGGUUGCGGGCUUUUCAGGUUGUGAAUGGGCCUCCGGAAUGGAUCCCGUUUGCAACCAGAGGUACCACUGUACUCGAUGCUGAAAAGGCAUUUGAUAAUGUCUUGUGGUUCUACAUGAAAAAACCAGUUAUAAAUAAUAGAAUUAGGAACACAAUUUAGGAAGGGAAUAGAGGCAAUAUACAAACAACAGAUAGCGAGACUUUUAAUGAAUGGCAAUCUUACUGAUAACAUAUCCAUUACAAAAGGGGCUAGACAGGGAUGCCCUCUGUCACCCCUGUUAUUCAUACUAGCUCUACAACCACUCCUACAGAAUAUCAGAAAGGAUGAAAAUAUAAGGGGAUAAAGAUUGGGGAGAAAUCCUAUAAAGGUAGAGCAUUUGCCAAUGAUUUGAUUGUAACGCAAGACCCGAAACAAAGUAUACCAGCUGCUAUAGAUUCAAUUAGAAAAUAUGGAAAAAUAAUGGGGCUGAAAAUAAACUAUCAAAAACCAAAAUUACUGAUUAAAUAUCUAACACAGGAGGAGAAAAAAGAACUGCGAGAAAAAACAGGUCUGGAAAUUAAAAAUAAGGUCAAAUAUUUAGGGAUUUGGAUUUCAAAUAAAAGUAUAAACUUAUAUGAGGACAAUUACACCAAAGCAUGGAAAGACAUAAAAAUAUAUAUGGAAAUUUGGACUAAACUCCACCUCUCCCUUUGGGGAAGAGUCUCGGUAAUGAAAAUGAACAUUCUUCCCAAAAUGGUUUUCUUAUUUCAAACGAUAACAAUUCUGGGAGGAAUGAAAUGUUUUAAGGAAUGGGGAAACGAUAUAGCUAGAUUUGUGUGGAAUGGGAAGAAACUGAGAAUCAAGCACCAGUUACUAAUAGACAAAAAGGAAAGAGGAGGCUUUGCGUUGCCGGAUCUGGAAUUAUAUCACGUGGCUGCAGGAUUGGUCUGGAUAAAAGAAUGGAUCACAUUAAAAGAUACAGAUGUACUAGACCUUGAAGCCAUGAUAAUUGGUACGGAUGGCACACCUAUUUAAUAUAUGAAAAAGUGAAGGUCCAUAGGGGGUUCUUGAGCCACAUGAUAAGAAAAUCACUAUACAAGAGAUGGAUUAAAUAAAAAGGAUUACUCGAACCAAAGAUACCCCUGUGAACAUCACCUACAGAAGCUAUGGCAGUAAAAAAAGAAAUAUGAAAGGAGAGUGGCCUAUGUACUGAUUAAUUUAAGAAAUAGAUAAGGACAAGCCAACUCUGAAAAAAUAUUCUGAAAUUAAAAGUCACGUAUCGGUUUGGUUACAAUAUUUCCAGGUUAAAUCAAAGAUUGGCCAUAGACAUAAAAGAAGGAAUUGCAAAAGAAACAUCCAAAUUUGAAAGAGAUUUAAUCUUUAACAAAGGAAAACAUAUUUCAUGAAUUUAUGAUUACCUUCUAGAAUGGGAGUAAAAGAGGAACAAGUUAAAGCAGUUAUGGUAAGAUGGGCGCAGGACUUUGGAUACAACAUAUAUAUGGAACAAUGGGAAAGAUUGUGGAGCAUAGAUAUUGUAUUUACAGCAUGUUAUAACCUGAGGGAAAACACCAUGAAGAUGUUAUACAGAUGGCACCACACCCCUUUAAAACUUGCUAAAAUGUGUAAAGGAAGGUCACCAACUUGUUGGAGAUGUAAAAAGGAUGUUGGGUCAUACUAUCACAUGUGGUGGACUUGUGCAGUUAUUGGUGAAUACUGGAAUAAUAUCUACAACGAAUUUAAGAAAUUAUUCAAACUUACCUUUAAAAAACCCCAGAGAUUUUUCUUUUAGGUAUACUACCAUUAGAAAAUAAAAAAUAUAUAAGACCAAUGUUCAUGUAUGCAAUUACAGCAGCGAGAAUUCUUGUGGUGAGGAAUUGGAAAAGUGAAAUACUACCAAUGAUAACAGAUUGGCAGAUACUUAUGAUAGAAUAUUUACAACUAGCAAAACUGAUGGGAAAAGUUAGAGGAGUCUCAAAUCAGAAAAUAUAUGGAGAAUGGAGAAUAUUUAAGGAUCACUUAAGGCUAUAUUGUACUAAUCCUACCAUAUUAGCAGAACUUGAAUGAUACUUGUAAAUGAAAACAGGUAACAAUUUUUUUUUCACUAGAUGGAAAUGAUAUAAAAGAAUAUAAAACUGUGCGAAAAAAUAAUGAAAGUACAAAUAGUAUAAUGAGAAUGAUAGGAAGUUUUACAUCCAGAAUUUUUAUUUAAGUGUUAUUAUAGAGGA